GCCAUUUUAUCAAUCAGGUAUUGAGAGUAGUGGAACCUCGGUGGUAAUUCUAGUGUCAUCACUUGUAUGUAAUCUAAGUGUCAUACAAUUUACUAAUGACUUAUUUGGAGAAAUCUUCUUUUGCGCUUCUGAUUUGACUGUGAGAUUCGCCGAUUUUGGUUACACAAGAUGUGAUGAAUUUGAAUGAAUAUGAUGGCGUUUCAGUCCAACAUGGCGACAGCGUCAUCUAGCGGCGGUUGUCAAAAAACACCAGAGUUUCGUCUCUGUGCAAAAUGCGACCAGAUGUAGUAGGACAUCCUGGUACUUCUGGCGAGCCACAUUUCACAUACUGUGUAUAGGGACAUGCUAAAUCUUUUCUAGUAUAUUAAAUAGUAUGGUAGUAUGGGUAUCGGAAAGCACCCACUGUGUAUGGUAACGUUACAAACUUUCCAUCGGACUAAAGUCAUGUUUUUGUUGUUACACCCACCUGGCGUCGUUUUCCCCACACCUGAUAAUUCCUUAUGAAAAGUGACUUGCUUUCAAUGAGCUCGUAAUUGCGACAUUAUUCCCGUAACAAAUUAAAUAAACGCCUAAAUGAUAGACAUGUUUGGUGUCCUUUGAUUGCAAUCGAGGACCGUUGGCUAGCUGACAGUUUUCCCAGCACCGAGUGACAGGUGAACGAAGAGGAACAUUUAGGCCUAUGUUAUUUUGCCAAUGACUUGGCUGACCAAACAAGUGUUGAAACAUCAGGAAAUAUUGGACUUACAUUCAUCAGGUAGACUUCAAGACUUCAAGGUGUUGACCCUAUGAGGUGGCUGUUGACUGCAACUCGACUGGCAGCAUAGCUGUGCUGACUGGCAGCCAUAUGUAAAGUCAGAUGAGCUAGCUCACACGCAACCAAACCUCACUGUACACAACCACAGAUUCCUGCACAGAGGUGGAACCAGUGCAAAUGCACAUUUUGGGAUGAGGAGCCAAUGGAAUGUCCGCUGGGCGUACAACAUUAGCUGGCAUGUCCGUGGGAUAUUUUGCCUGUUGGACGAUCAGUAAAUCAACGUCAGACAUGGAGUUUGGCAGUGUAGAUGGAUGGACGGAAAGCAGUGCCUCUGAGACGUCACUCCUUAUGGAUUUGGCAGGAGCUGCACUGCAUUGUUAUUUCCAGAGAAAACAUUCUCUUACGCAAACAUCAACUUGUGGGUAGCAGUUUUGGAUUUCCUUUCAUGCACACACAUGUUGCAGUGUGUGUGUGUGUUUGUGUGAAGGUGCAUGCCAGCCUGUAGGCCAGUGCGAGCCACUAGGUUUUUUUUGUUUUUUUUAACAAGGUGUGCUUCCUCCACCCCUGUUUCCCAAAUCACAGUCCUCUGUAACCAAUCAAACAACACCACAGUGCACCUCCGCUAUGUGUCCAGCUAUGACAUGCUGGUCUCUGGUAUGCUUUGGCUUGGCCACCGUCUGGAGCUGGUCAAAAGAGGAAAGAGGAGGAGGAGGGAGGGAGACGAGAGGAGAAAGGGGGAAAAGAGAGAGUGGGUGAUAAGCUGAACCUCAUGCAUGCGGUAAUCAAACGCAGGCUCUUUCAAAGUACCAUUGGUCUAACUCCACCUAUUAUUUUUUCCUUUAGACAUUAAUAAUCUUUCACCGUGUAGACCUUUUUGAUUCCCCCAAGGCUCUCAAGGAUCAGUUCAAGCUUAAUGAACUGAAUACACUCUUCUUUUGUUUUUUUUCUGUGUGAUGAACAUGUUGAUCCAUAACAAAAGCACAGUAGUAGUGGAAGAUACAGUUAUCUUAACAAAACAAAUCAUGGAUGAAAUAGGCCUGUGAGUGUGUGCCUUUGUGCAUGUGUGAGUGUACAGUGAGUUGAUCUAUAAAAAAGGAAUGAGUCAUGGUGUUCUGACAGUUGAUCAUCCUGUAAUGCUUGAUGCUCCUCCCUUCUCACCCCCUCUAUCUCACUUUCUCCUUCUCCACAGAUAAUAAUUCUUACGUUUCUGCCUACAUGUGCACAUGCUGCACUGUAUGAUCAAAGUAUGCAGACACACCUGUUCACCUAGAUUUGUACAGCAUGCAGUUUUAUUUGCUUGCAUGCUUACAACUUUUCAGCAAAAAUUGGGGCCACUGUGUACAAAACAAGGUCCAUAAAGAUGGUUUUCAUAGUUUGGUGUGGGAGAACUUAACUGGCCUUCCGAGAGCCCUGACCUCAACCCGAUCCAACAGUUUUGGGAAGAACUGGAAGCUAAUUGUGAUCCAGACCUUAACACCCAACAGCCGGCUUCCAAACUCUCUCAGAAAGCCUUCCUAGAAGAGACAAACUUUUUAUAGCAGUAUAUUAAUGCCCAUGGGUUUGAAAUUAGAUAUUCAAUGAUCACAUACUGUAUGAGCAUAACAUUUAGGCAUCCACAUACUUUCUUUGCUCUUGGCUAUACUUGAACGAUCUCUUCAAUCACUACCUCCCUGUAUACCUUGCACAUACAAUGCACCUUUAAUAUAUUAAAUUAUAUCAAUACAAUUAUGUUUACAUGUUCCUUAGAUGUAGCCCUUUUUGUUUGUAUCAUAUUCAGUUCAUCUUGUAAAUUUGGUAUUGCUCAUAAUUUAAAUUUCCAUAGUUUUAUAUUGUAUCUCGUGAAGUUUGUAUAUAUUGUAUAUAGCCUAACUUUCAUAUUUGUUAUAACAUUCAUAGUUUUAUAUUUCAUUCUCGGCUGGAAGGGAGUGCAAAGUAAAAAUUUCAUUGUACAGUGCAACUGUCUGUUCUCUGUGCAUAUGACAAUAAAGAUUUGAAUUGAA